GCUGUUGAUCCAAAAGAAGGCAAAGAAAACAGUUGGAAGCACAAUUUUGCAACAAGCUAGGAAAAAAAUUCCUUCUUGACCCCAGAAUGGCAGUCAGAUUUAUCCUUGGAUCAAGAAGCUAUCACCCUACAUUGAAAGAUUAUAUCCAUGAAUAUUCUGUUUCUGCAAGUAUGCAUCUAGUAGCUGUUUGAACAUCUGUAUGGACUCUGAUAAAAACACUUCUUCAGGCAGAGAAUUCCACAUCCUUAUUGUUCGUACAGUAAAAAAAACUUUCCUUUGCCUUAGACAAAAUCUUCUUUCUUCCAGUCUAAAAGCAUGGCCUUGUGUCCUAUGUAAAGUCUGGUUUGUGAAUAGAUUUCCACACAAUGGUUUGUAUUGGCCCCGAAUAUAUUUGUAUAAUGUUAC